CAUGUAGGCGGAUUAAUAAGUUUGAAGUGAAAUCCUAUAGCUUAACUAUAGAACUGCUUUGAAAACUGUUAAUCUAGAAUGUAGGAGAGGUAGAUGGAAUUUCUGGUGUAGGGGUAAAAUCCGUAGAGAUCAGAAGGAAUACCGAUUGCGAAGGCGAUCUACUGGAACAUUAUUGACGCUGAGAUGCGAAAGCGUGGGGAGCAAACA
rnacentral:rRNA from 1 species